GUGCCAGCAGCCGCGGUAAUACGUAGGGUCCGAGCGUUGUCCGGAAUUAUUGGGCGUAAAGGGCUCGUAGGCGGUCUGUUGCGUCGGGAGUGAAAACUUACAGCUUAACUGUGAGCGUGCUUUCGAUACGGGCAGACUUGAGGCAUUCAGGGGAGAACGGAAUUCCUGGUGUAGCGGUGAAAUGCGCAGAUAUCAGGAGGAACACCGGUGGCGAAGGCGGUUCUCUGGGAAUGUCCUGACGCUGAGGAGCGAAAGUGUGGGGAGCGAACAGGAUUAGAUACCCUGGUAGUCC
rnacentral:rRNA from 1 species